GCCAGCGGGUCAGUGCCGGGGACUCAUGGGAGACUGCCGGGGUCAACUCGGAGGAAGUGGGGAUGACGUCAAAUCAUCAUGCCCCUUAUGUCUUGGGCUUCACGCAUGCUACAAUGGCCGGUACAAAGGGCUGCGAUACCGCGAGGUGGAGCGAAUCCCAGAAAGCCGGUCUCAGUUCGGAUUGGGGUCUGCAACUCGACCCCAUGAAGUCGGAGUCGCUAGUAAUCGCAGAUCAGCAACGCUGCGGUGAAUACGUUCCCGGGCCUU
rnacentral:rRNA from 1 species